rnacentral:SRP_RNA from 1 species
CCGUGCUAGACGGGGAGCUAGCGGUUCCUUGUUACCUGCAAACCGCUUACGCAGGGUCGAUCGCUUUUUGGAGGUUUUUCUGACUUUUGGUGCUUUUUAAGCAAGUGGUGUUGAAGGCUGGGUCUCAUGCAAUAAGGCUAUGUGAACCUGGUCAGAUGCGGAAGCAAGCAGCCAUAAGCAUUGGU